CUAAGCAACCCUAAUGCCUUUGUUAGUCUCACCAAUGAGUCGACUACUAAUAUAACAUGAGGCAUGAACAUUUUGCCAUUUCUGUCUUUAAGUUCAUUAUACAUUAGACAUUAUAUUACACAAGCCAUUUAGAAAAGUUGUUAAACUGGCGACUGAUAUUGUGUGGGAUGUCCAGAUACACAAUUUUAAGAACUCGGUCAAAAGUAAUUUGAUGAUUGAAUUCAAACGGAUUUAUUUUCAGUCUCAGUCUUCAGAGAAGUGCCGAACAGACAACGUCAGCGUCCUCUCACGCCUGGGAAUAUGUGACUGGUGUCUAAUUGAAUAUGGACAUACUGACAUGACAAGAUCUGCGAGGCUGUUUGACCAGAGAAGACUCAUCACUCUUCUGUCGCUCUUCACAGUCAACCUGCGAUGUGGUGUGUCAGAGAGCAGGGCUUGCUUCUCUAACAAGGAUCUUGGCCCAAGGACAGACAAGGCAUGUGGAGAGAAUACUUACCAGAGAAUUUUCACCAAGUUUAUCUUUUGCCUUAUGAAAAAUAAGAAAGUGCUAAAGAUUUGUUAGCGUCGCAGCUUGGCAAAUUUGAGCACUUAUAACUGUCCAGAGCCCGGAGCUGACUACAGCGUGACUACAGAUCUCAGCUAAAUGUCUGAAUUUGAUUUACUUUGUGACCUACAUAGUGACAUGUUGGAUUUGAUAAAGUAAUCAAAAAGGAUUAUAAAAUCCAUAAUAAAUUUGUUAUUGGCUUCAGAUUAGAUAAGAUAUAAAUAUAUGUUAUAGAUAAUUUUAAAAUGGAUAUGAUGUUAAAAGGUGAAGUUAUUAUUACACAUCAUUCAAAACACAAAUUACAUUUCCAAUUUCAUUGAUAUUGGUAUUCUGGGCUUCCAUAGACCACAAAAACUUGUCGAUAAAACACUUCCUCUGAAAUAAAAUAACAUUAAUAACAUUUAAUCAAAUCUACAUGUCGGCUCACAUAUGGGCUAAGAAUUAAAUUACUUGGUUUCAAUAAAUGUAUAAAAACAUUCAUAUGUCUUAUUUGAUCAAACAAGUCCACAAGAAUGAACAAAGAUUCACAAUUAUUAAUGGUGCUUAAUAUCGGAAGCAUAUGUUAACAGAGUGCAUGUCAAACCGUUUUACCCAAUAUUGAAUCUGUUGUAAUCACAAACAAGAAAAAAUCUUAGGUUAUCUCUGUUAAAUGUGCAUUCUGGUGUUCUGAAAAAUUCUUACAUUAUUUCACAUUUUAAUUGAGCAAUAAAAACAUGAUAACCAAAGAGAAAGGACUUUACCAUCAUAAAUUUAAUGUUUGCUACAAAACUGGUGCUCAACACUGAUACUCGCAUGCAGAACACAAAGAAAUACAUUUAGAAUGGAAUAAUGACAUUUUUUACUUCAACAUUUAUAAAACCUCCCACUUGCAAUUCUUAGUAAUAUUUUUUUAAACAAAAGAAGUUAAACAUAUCGAUAUAUGAUGUGUAUGACAUUACAUUGUUUUUUUCUUGCCAUGUUGGAUUGCACAUGUCCAUGUGAGCUCUGGUGAAGAUCUAGAUGUCAGUGACAAACCAGCAGUCAACAGGAUAAUCCCAGUUAAUACUCUCACCCACUGUGAGGAUAUUACAGAAAGAGACUCGCCGUGUAUCCUCAGAAGAGCAGACUGGAGAGCUGCCUCCGAGAUGCUGCUGAACUGCACCUUGGUGUGGCUGGUGGAACUACGACCAUCGUCUACAACAGCCAUGUUGUGGCGAAGAUGUGCCAGGUGGAAUCUGGGGGUAAAGGUUCAUCAGCAUGAGGAUUUCAUGUUUGUCCUCGAUACACUUUCACUGACGGUUCAAUUUGUUAGAAAAGUUGAUGUUUUUUUAAGUAUUUUUUUGGCCUUUAUAUGGCCUUUAUUGAUAGAAGAGCGGACAAGACGACUGGAAACAGGAUGAGAGAAAGGGGGAGUGACAUGCAGCAAAGGGCCGACAGGGCUGCUGCAGCGAGGACAAAGCCUCUGUACAUGGGACACCCACUCUACCAACUGAACCAACAACACAAGUUGAUUUUUGUGUCUCAUUCCCAACUGGUCAAAAACUGACACCUUGGGAUGGCAACCGAACAAAUUUACAAUCCAAAAGCAUCUGUAUUUGACGAGUUAGGAAUGUGACACAUAAACAGACUUUUUGAUUUUUUUUUUCUUUUUUUUGGAAACAGCAAGCAGAUAUUUGGUAUCAAAUCAGAAAACACAUUGUGAUUAUAUUAAGAACUUAUUGCCAGGAAUUGACCUCAAUAAGAUUAUGUUGUUCUGUGCAACUUUUUAGUUAGCCCAAUACAGCAUCCCUGCAGUACUCUGUAAGAUGGUAAUAUUUUAGGGCUGUGUGUCAAUCAGCAUGUUUGGAAUUCGUCUGCCCCCUAGUGGCAAAAAAAAUCAAUUAUUGCAGCUUUAAGUGUAGAGGUCAUAAUCUCCAUGGUCACUGUUAAAACAACAUUGCUGAAACUCACGUCCGCAUGCUCACGAUUUGUGCUCUGCUGUCCACUCUGUAUACAUCUAUUAUUCAUGUUAUAUAUGAGCCAGACGUGGGAGAAUUUAACUUUUCAAAUAUGCUUUAAAUAUACCGUUGACUGCUGCUGCCUGUGCAGGAUCUAUCACCCUGUUUACUGUAUACACAUUAUUUAUCACUGACACAUACAUUGGGCCACAGUAUAUUCAAUAACUCUCAUUUUUCUCUUCCUUUAUGAUUUAAUCAGUGAGUGUUGGCAGGAGCCUAAUGGCAAGGCCAGUGAUGAGUCAGCCAGGCUGCAGUUUUGGGAGCUGGAGUCUGUCGCUGUGUUCCGUAUCAGUCUGUGUGAUGACAGCAACCUCACCCUGAACGCGGACAGGACGAAGGAGAUGAUGGUGGACAUGAGGAGGAAGAGGAGUCCUUAUCAGCCG